rnacentral:lncRNA from 1 species
GCUCUGUGUCCCCACAGGAGGGGUGGAAGACCUGCAGUUCCGCGUGGAGGGAGGAGUCCAUCACCAAGGGAGACCUGGGAGGUAACCGUGGGCAGGGCUUGCGCACACCCAGGACCCUCUUGCCAGCACAUGGCCGCGAGGUCCAGGCAGCCACUCUCGGGGUCAAAGGUCACACCCUGGGCGCUUGGGUGAGGCCAUGGGACUGACAGUGGUCACAGACCCAGACGCAGCUGGAGCAUGCGCGCAUUGGGGAGCUGGAGCAGAGCCUGCUACUGGAGAAGGCGCAGGCGGAGCGGCUGCUCCGAGAAUUGGCGGACAACAGGCUGACCACGGUGGCCGAGAAGUCGCAUGUUGCAGCUGGAGGAGGAGCUGAGCCUGCGGUGGCGGCGAGAUCGAGCAGCUGCAGCAGUGCCUGCUGCACGCUGGGCCCCGCCCCCGACGCACCCGAGGGCCGCCGAGGCACCGCCGCCUGCGCGAGCAGCUGCUGUCGGCCUCCAGGAGCAGCGGCGGAAAGCGGGCGCUGCGGGGGACAAGUGACGGCG